rnacentral:tRNA from 1 species
GGAGGCGAAUCGGGACUGGUGUUCUGCGCGGUCUUCAAAACCGUUGAGGGGCGUUGAGAGACGUCCCUGGUGGGUUCGAUUCCCAUGCGCCUCCGCCA